rnacentral:rRNA from 1 species
AUUGAACGCUGGCGGCAGGCCUAACACAUGCAAGUCGAACGAGUGGCGGACGGGUGAGUAAUGCUUGGGAAACUGGCUUAAGGAGGGGGAUAACGACGGGAAACGGUAGCUAAUACCGCGUACCCCAAGCUGAGCCCAGGUGGGAGUAGGUAGUUGGUGGGGUAAUGGCCCACCAAGCCGACGACCUCUAGCUGGUCUGAGAGGAUGACCAGCCACACUGGAACUGAGACACGGGCCAGACUCCUACGGGAGGCAGCAGUGGGGAAUAUUGCGCAAUGGGGGCAAGCCUGACGCAGCCAUGCCGCGGGUAUGAAGAAGGCCUUCGGGUUGUAAAGUUCUUUCAGUGGUGAGGCGUUACCCGCAGAAGAAGCACCGGCUAACUCCGUGCCAGCAGCCGCGGUAAUAC